AUACCUUGCCUUGACAUCCCCCUGCCUGUAGUUUUCUCUCUUCCAUUUGCAUCCCGCCUUGGGUUGGGGAGGAGGACGCUGCUUGCUCGGAGAGCUCGAGGCACCUCCAUGAGGGAGGGGGGAGGCGGCUGAUUUUACCUUCACGACAACCCUGUGAGGCUAACUUUGAAUUGGACUUCAUAUUUGCUUAGACAACCUGGAAUUUCCUGUUUAUAAGAAUAAGUGUCAUACUACACAGGAAUCGUAUAUCAAGUAGGAUUACAAAAUGUCUGAAGGCCUGCCUUUUGUAAGUGAUCACCUGUAUUUUAUUUAGCACCUUUUUGUAGUGGAUGUGUGGAUGACUUUGGGAAAUAU
rnacentral:lncRNA from 1 species